rnacentral:rRNA from 1 species
AACGAACGCUGGCGGCAUGCCUAACACAUGCAAGUCGAACGAUGCUUUCGGGCAUAGUGGCGCACGGGUGCGUAACGCGUGGGAAUCUGCCCUUGGGUUCGGAAUAACAGUGAGAAAUUGCUGCUAAUACCGGAUGAUUUCUUCGGACCAAAGAUUUAUCGCCCAGGGAUGAGCCCGCGUAGGAUUAGCUAGUUGGUGGGGUAAUGGCCUACCAAGGCGACGAUCCUUAGCUGGUCUGAGAGGAUGAUCAGCCACACUGGGACUGGGACACGGCCCAGACUCCGACGGGAGGCAGCAGUGGGGAAUAUUGGACAAUGGGCGCAAGCCUGAUCCAGCAAUGCCGCGAGAGUGAUGAAGGCCUUAGGGUUGUAAAGCUCUUUUACCCGGGAUGAUAAUGACAGUACCGGGAGAAUAAGCUCCGGCUAACUCCGG